rnacentral:rRNA from 1 species
UACGGAGGGGGCAAGCGUUGUCCGGAAUUACUGGGCGUAAAGCGCAUGUAGGCGGGCGACUAAGUCAGGGGUGAAAACCGUGGGCUCAACCUACGGCUUGCCUUUGAUACUGGUCGUCUUGAGUACAGGAGAGGGAAGCGGAAUUCCCGGUGUAGCGGUGAAAUGCGUAGAUAUCGGGAGGAAGGCCGGUGGCGAAGGCGGCCUCCUGGGCCUGCACUGACGCUGAGGCGCGAAAGCGUGGGGAGCAAACAGG